rnacentral:tRNA from 1 species
GCUGUAGCUCAGUGGUAGAGCACUUGCCUUGUAUACGUGAGGCACUGGGUUUGAUCCUCAGCACUGCA